ACCUUGGUGCCAUGAAGGUGCAGCCAGUGAGAAGUUCAGGGGCAUAAUCCUGCAGUGGUUUGCUGGGUCAAAUACUGGCUUUGGCUUACAGAUGGAACCAUGACUGGUGAUGGUUGCAGGAAGCACAUGGGACGGGGUCAAAGGCUUUGAGGCAGCGGCUUCGGGCCAACAACUCAGGACGUGUCUGCCAAGCUUUACUGAGGUAUAAUGGACAUACAAUAAAGUGCAUCUGUUUAGACAUCCAA